UGCUCAAUAUGUGGUAUUGAUGAUGAGUGUAUUUUCCAUGCUUUGGUGGUUUGUCCCAAGGCUCGUGCGUUCCGCAUGGCUCUGAAGGAAGUUUGGAAAUUACCAGCGGAGGAGACCUUCAAAUAUUCUGGACCGGAUUGGUUCCUUAUUCUAUUGGACCAGUUAACUACGCCUGUUCGUGAGCAAACUAUAUUCAUGUUUUGGAGAGCUUGGCACUUGAGGAAUGAUUUGAUCUUUGGUAAGGGAAUGGAAUCCAUCUCAGCCUCGGUAAGUUUUGUCGAAAAUUAUUGGGCAUCUUUCUCGUCUUGUCUUGCUAAAAUGCAGAGGCCACCUACCCCAGACGUCUAUAAAAUUAAUGUCGACGCAAGUUUUGUGGAGGCCAUUAAAGCUGCGAGCAUGGGGGUGGUUGUUAGAAAUCACCAUGGACAAGUGAUCCUAUCCUCCUGGGAUUAUAUUGGUACUUGCUACAGCGUUGAGGAAGCGGAACUUAGAGCGUCCUUGUCCGGCCUAUAUAUUGGUAUGACUCUAGACAUGCCCGUCAUUUUGGAAACUGACUGUUCAUUUGUAGCCUCCGUUUUUGGUAAAGAAUAUAUGGACAGAUCAUCCCUUGUUGAUCUAAAGAAGGAAGCUGUAGAUGUCUCAAAGUUGUUGGUGAAUUUACAGAUUUCUAAGAUCAACAGAAAGGCUAAUAUGGUGGCUCAUGAGAUUGCAAAGUUUAGUUUUGAUAAUAGUUCUGAUGGUAUUAUGUUUCAUUCUGUUCCGCCCUGCGUGGCAAAGUUUGUAACGAAUGAUUGUAUGAACAUUUUAAGUUAA
rnacentral:rRNA from 1 species